AGCAGUAGCCGCGGGAAUACGUAGGGUGCGAGCGUUAAUCGGAAUUACUGGGCGUAAAGCGUGCGCAGGCGGUUCGUUAAGACAGAUGUGAAAUCCCCGGGCUUAACCUGGGAACUGCAUUUGUGACUGGCGAGCUAGAGUAUGGCAGAGGGGGGUAGAAUUCCACGUGUAGCAGUGAAAUGCGUAGAGAUGUGGAGGAAUACCGAUGGCGAAGGCAGCCCCCUGGGCCAAUACUGACGCUCAUGCACGAAAGCGUGGGGAGCAAACAGGAUUAGAUACCCGCGUAGUCCCUGUCUCUUAUAC
rnacentral:rRNA from 1 species